rnacentral:rRNA from 1 species
AACGAACGCUGGCGGCAUGCCUAACACAUGCAAGUCGAACGAGACCUUCGGGUCUAGUGGCGCACGGGUGCGUAACGCGUGGGAACCUGCCCUUAGGUUCGGAAUAACUCCCCGAAAGGGGUGCUAAUACCGGAUAAUGUCUUCGGACCAAAGAUUUAUCGCCUUUGGGUGGGCCCGCGUUGGAUUAGCUAGUUGGUAGGGUAAAAGCCUACCAAGGCGACGAUCCAUAGCUGGUCUGAGAGGAUGAUCAGCCACACUGGGACUGAGACACGGCCCAGACUCCUACGGGAGGCAGCAGUGGGGAAUAUUGGACAAUGGGCGAAAGCCUGAUCCAGCAAUGCCGCGUGAGUGAUGAAGGCCUUAGGGUUGUAAAGCUCUUUUACCCGGGAUGAUAAUGACAGUACCGGGAGAAUAAGCACCGGCUAACUCCGUG